GCGUGUGGAGAGGUCUCUGUGCUGUGUCUCCAGAUAUAUCUGUAUUGGGGGAUAUAAAUACUAGUUAAAGACGACGCAGAGAAUAGGACUUCUGAAUCUGACAACGGAGAAUGGCUCAAGCAUCCGGUAAAUUACCUAUAUCUUUAAAGCUAAAUUUUAUGCGUUUAAACCUUUAGGCAGAAACAUAGGGACUUUUUCAUUCUUUGCAGUGACUCUAAAUGGAGGGCUGAACCUUCAAGCAGAGGAGUCUGAGUCAUCAACCGAUACCUCAACAUCCGAGACCUCAUCUGAUACUGACUCCUCAUCUGUGCUUUCAGAGGACAUGGUAUUACCCGAAGGGUUAUCGCCAUCAUCAUCGCCACAGGAUGACGCAACGGGGCAUGCCUCAGACGGUCAAAACAUUAUACAUUCUUUAGAGGCUGCCCGGAAGAGAUCCAGGUGAUGUGAUACCGCAUCAGAAUUUUGAAGAACAACCGCCGGGAGUCUGUCUCAACCGCUAAUCAACCGCUGAUGGCCGCGGAGAGGUCAAGGCCUCAACCAGCGGACAGAGAUCCAGGAUUCUCAUCUGGUCGCAACAACAGGAGAACCAGUUCUGAGAAUCCACACCUGAGAUCCCACGGGGCUUCCAGCGAAGGAUUUCCAUCGGCACGCUCAAACAGACCCAGGUCCAGACCAUCCAGGUGUCCUCAGUGCUGCAGAACUACACGCCAGCAAUUGGAGCUGAUGUCUAGAGCUUUUUGGCUCAUCUGUCAGAAGUUAGGUGUACAAAGUGACAAUUUGUAAACAGUUUCAGACUGUGAUUUUUAUCAUCUGUAUAAAUUGCAAUGAUGUUGAUUUAAGGUUUUUAAAAGCGUUUGAUUUGUAUGAGGUCAUGGAUCAACACACACUAGUAGCUAUUGAUUUGUUAGAGAGUUUAGCACAAAAUCUUCAGAAUGAGUUGGGUUUUCAAAACGAUUUAACUGAAAAUGAUUUGAAUGAAAACGACACAGCCGCUACAUCUAACAGCUCUGAACAGCCUGUAGAUCCUCUCCUUGCUUUAAAUCAAGCUCUCACUAACCUUGAACAGUUAGAGAAUGAAUCAUCACUAGACGAAACAAUCAGAAUAAAUAAUGUCCAGCUCGAACGUCCCACUUUAUCAGACCCUCAGACACCUCCAAACUACAUCGAUCUCAGCAUACCCAGUCCUCCUGUGCAGCAAGGAGGUGCUCGUAUUUCCCCACAACCACGCGUUGUGCGGCGAAGCUGAUUUGCAAAUGAUCAAAUCAGACAGUUGUUAAACUUUCCACCCCAUCUUAAUGCAGAUGGAAUAGUGGAUUGCAGCAUUUUUUACAACACAGCCUUACAGCAAGCUGAUGCGUUGCUACAACAAGCAUUAGCAUGCCUGACUCCUCGAGACGCGGUACAGUUAGAGCUGCGCGGGCAAAAUCUCCAUAGUAACGUCUCGGUUGUCUUAUCUAAUGACGAGCUCCCCAGCCUAGCCAACUUUGAAAGGCUCUAACUGGGCCGUUAUGGCCGAUGGUCAGCUAGAACUUGUCGUAGAAGUGAUCCAGAACCCUAGGGGUGGGGGGAAACAAUUUCUUGGGAAAAUGCUAGACAGUGAAAUCAUUAAAAAAAAAGACAUUUUCUGUACAUUGUCCACAACAGAGAGAAUCAACUACGUUUUGCCAUCUGUCUGGCUCAUCUGUUAGAUCCUGAUAUCAGCGAUAGAGAAGCCCUCGAACGCGGUAGACAGCUUCAAAAUGAUGUAGGGUUAGACGAGCAGACCGCUGUAUCCUUUAGCGACAUCCCUAAAUUUGAAACCACGUUGGACUGUACAAUUGCAGUGUUUUACAGAACCGAGGAAGACAGGGCUCUCCGCAAAUUCUUGACAGAUAGCUCAAGACGGAGUAAAACCCUGAUUUUGUUUCUCUUCCAAAAUCACUACUAUGCAGUUAAAAAUCUCAAAGCCUUUCAAGGUUCGCCUUAUGUUUGUGAGCACUGCUUUACAGGUUUUAACACCGUGUUAGGCCAUACUUGCGAAGCUCGUUGCACCAUAUGCUUUGACCCCAGUUGUACACAGAGGCCGUGUCAACCUGUUGUGUGUGACCAAUGCAACAGAACGUGUCGCUCGCCUUUCUUUUUGGCCAAACACAAAGAACCUACAGAGAGUCAAAGUCAAACAUAUGCCAGCGCUUGUGCCUUGUACAAAAAAUGU